rnacentral:rRNA from 1 species
UACGAAGGGGGCUAGCGUUGCUCGGAAUGACUGGGCGUAAAGGGCGCGUAGGCGGCUUGCACCGUCAGAUGUGAAAUUCCUGGGCUUAACCUGGGAAUGGCAUUUGGGACUGCAAGGCUGGAGUACGGCAGAGGGAGGUGGAAUUCCAGGUGUAGCAGUGAAAUGCGUAGAUAUCUGGAGGAACACCGAUGGCGAAGGCAGCCUCCUGGGCUAGUACUGACGCUCAUGCACGAAAGCGUGGGGAGCAAACAGG